GUGUAGGAAUCGGCGCAAAGUGUUUGUUUUCAUAAAUUUGUUGGGUUAACCUACAUAUAUAAAAAAUGUAAAUAAUGUCGAGAAACAUGCAAAAAUAGACGUAGAAAUUGCAUGGUAUUUACUGGGCUUUUAUAUCUAUUUUUAGAUAGAUUGUAGAGCAGAUGUCAUAAUAUCCAUGGAUCCCGGUGGGACUCGAAACUACAACUUCCAGCAAUUGAGUUGGCAGAAUUCCAACCGAGCCAUCGUUGCUCGCACCAGCAAUAUUUCAUGUCAUAUUUCAAAUUUUUAAAUUAAGUUUCCUUUAUCACAGUUUAGUGGCAUACGAGAUCCACAGAAAAAAUAGAAAUACCGGCAUUAGGUGAACAUCUUUGAGACUCAAGUACUUUCAAAUUGUUCAUCACUUGAGUGAGGAUGUCAUCUUCGGCGUUAUAUUCAUUUGUUACUUGAUUCACAUGGACCUUGGUAACAUGUCCAUUCAGU